UGUGCCCCUACCCCAAAGAGACCUCACCAUGAGCCCCUACCCCACAGAGACCUCGCCAUGAAGAGGUGAAGGAGUAGGAUUUCCUUUGAAGGAUCUUGAAGUCCUUGACAGAUGAGAAGAAUAUUGAAGCUGCCUAAGAAGGUCACAGCUGGAAGGCCUGAGCAGCUUUGCUGAGGGGUAGUGGGCCCUGCUGAACAAGACGGCAGUUAACUAUGGCUAACUGAAAACAAGAAAAGUGAAACCACAGGGGGAUGACCACACAUGAGUGA